AAGGUGUGGCCAUGAGCGCAGAGAGGCGGAGAAAGGAAGUCAGAAAACAGAUUUAAACCAAGUUUGAACCACUACUUCUGUUUGCUAGUUCUUUGAGAAAAUGUCCUUACAGAAGAAGCCUGGAUGCUAAAACAAACUCUGGAGCUGCUUUUUCUUCGAACAGGAGUGAGACUGGACGCUGAACACACCUGGCGCGAAAUGUCCAGGUUUACUCUGUCAGCUGCUGCAGCCUGGACAGAAACACCAGCUCUCACCUUACAAACCAAACAGGUGUCACCACUUUGUCCAAGAUCACAGAGAUGUCGUCCAUGAUCACAGAGAGUCUUCAUACAGUGAAGAAGUUCUUUGAAACUAGGACUGAGGCCUCCAGGAUUCAAACUUCCACCAUUAAAUCACAGAGAGAAGAGACAGAUGUCAAGACAUUUCUAGAAGGUCGUCAGCUGCUGUCGUCUUCUCCUCCUGCAGAGACAAGAACACGUGUUAAUCACACAAACAUUUUUGACCGUUUUUGAUACCCAUGACAUGCUGCUCAAACAAAGAAACUAUCUUAAAGCAGCUAUCUUACAUUUGUUAUCCACAAACUCACACUUCUACACCGUGUUUGUGGGUUUGGUUAGAUUUUGUGUUUGUCAUUUCAGUUUGGUAUUUUGCUAUUUCAAACAGUGCAUUAUCAGUACUCAAAUUCAAUCUAUUACUGUGGACAAAGUGUUUAGAAUUUUUACAUAUUGUUACAUUAUUUGAUAUAAUGCCUUUUUCUAUUUGUGCUGCUGCAACACUGAAUUUCCAUGCCGUGGGACUAAUAAAGGAUUAUCUUACUACUGAA